rnacentral:lncRNA from 1 species
AUUUGGCUUGCCAUAAACACACACUUACACACACAUACAUGCAAUCAACUACACUUGACUAGUCAAAAAGGUCUAUGACAAAUACAAAUAAUCCAAAUUGCAUUUUGCAUGGGGUUAAUGCUCACAUUGAGGUUUAACGCGCAAUAUACUUUUGAAUAGAUAUUUCAGACAUCAAACCCGGAUACGCAGUUGAGCUCAUCAAGGCUGCAUCUGUUUUCCAGCAAGGAUUACCCUGCUAUAUCUUGUAGUCCUCGGAUGACCUUGAACUGGAAACAGAUGAAUGUCGAGAAUAAUUUGUGGAAAUGUGGCUGAUAGAUGGCGUUCGCUUGCUGGCCCACCGACUAUUCAGUGAAGGAAGGGAGAAGUCUCGUCAGAGACUCCGAUCUGGUGUGUCACACGUGGGUCGCCUCGUCUAAGUCCGCCAUGAAAAGAAAAAGAUAACCGCGUAUCCACCUAAAUCCAGCCCGUCAUCGUCUCAUCGUCGUCUUCGUUUCAUCGUCUCAUCGUCGUCUUCGUUUCAUCGUCUCAACGCCGCCUUCGUCUCUUUGUUUCAUUUUCCACCUCGUCUGGAAAAUGGCUUCUUUAAACCCAGCAAACAGUAUCUUGCCAGUUGCGUUUAUCUCACGCAAACCUUGGCAGUUGAAUAUAUAAACAGUGGACUUCCCUCUAAGACAGUACCGCAUUCCAGCGUUUACCAGCGAACGUAGCAGACAUGUCGCGCAGUCACUUUUUCUUGGUCGCUUUGUUCCUCGCUGUGCUAGUGGCGUAUUGCUCCGCCAUACCAGUUGAAGUCGAAGAGUCUGCAGUUUCCGCCGUAGUCUCAACAGAUCCAACAGUUGAAAAUGCAAGACCUAAACGACAGUUUCUUGCUGGACUCUUGAUAGGAAAAGCUCUUGGAGCUGGAUACGGUUAUGGAUUAGGUCGUUCAGCUUACUAUGGCGGAUAUGGAUACUCCUAUCGUGGCUAGCGGCUACCCUGGUCCUUACGGCGAUUACGGAUACGGAGGCUACCAUUACUGGUAUGUAUUUCAACAUUUGCUUUUCGAAAUAAACGAGCUGAUUUACAGGAUCGAAUAAUUCCGAGCCAGUGCCAUUUUACAACGUUACUGCAUUCAACAUUUCCCACAGAGCGACUGGAAUGAACGGACAGAAUAAAUUUGUUAUCAGCACCUCCAUAUAAGGAAAAUUUAACAUUUCUCCAAGACUUGCUAUUGUAAAACGUGCGUGAAUAGACCUGAUGCAUGACGUCUGAAAAAACUAGGAUCCGCUCUUGGAGACCGUUUGUCACUUUUUUCACGGCCAUCCUGCGGUCAUCACUUCCACAUACGUAGGCGCCAUGUGUGAUACGACGUCCCAGGACCAAUGAGCUCCAUGAGCGUCACAACAACACCACAUCAAGCAUUGCAGCUGGUAAAAUGGCAUCAGAGGUGAUGCUUUCGCGUCUUAUUCCUUGUUGGGUUUCGACCCUCCUUCCAGCAGAACGAUAUGAGUCGCCUGGUAUUCGUACUCAGGUAAAUUCUAUUAGUUUGGUGAAAUUGUAAAUCUUGCGUGGUUCUCUUGGUGAUGGUGGCCGUGAUCUUUGCUAAUGAUCUAAGGGAGGACACUCGCCUAAAGAGACAAUUUGGCGGCGCGCAUGGAUUGUUAAACGGGUUUUUGUAUGGAUACGGUUAUCCUGGAUACGAAUAUGGACGCUAUUCGUAUUACGGCUAUCAGUAACCUUACGUUAGACAUAGACCAGCUUAUGGGUAGGCGAUCUUUGAACGACAUUUUUAGUGUAAAUAUUGACAGGAAUCCAAACGAUUUUUGUUUUUUAACGCGCACAUAGACCAUACGAUUAUUAUGGUCAUCGUUGGAAUGAAUACAGAUUGUGAAAUUCUUAAAAGAAAAUUACUGCACACACGACGAGGAACUAUUUUUAUGAAAAAGAGGUAAAAGUGGAUUAAUUAUGCUUAGCUUGUUUUGGUGAUGGUUCAGAUUUAAAUGUUGAGCAUGGAUGUUGAUUAAUACUGUAAUAGAAUAAAUGAAAUUUUGAAGUA